rnacentral:lncRNA from 1 species
AACGAUUGCUGAGUUUUUAAGCUUCUAACAUUACACAUAACCAGUUAACUUAUAUCCUAUUAUAGCUAAGUAUUUUUUGAAAUGAAAGAUGUACAUCAUAACCAACAAUCCAUGUACAAAAAAUGUCCCAAAUGUUCGGAAUUACGUACACAUCAACAGACUAAUAGACCUCAUGUUCUCAACAAAAUAUAAAACAAAAGAGCAGCGUGAAUUCCUGAAGUACCAUUACUAUAUUAAGACGAACCAGCUAAUCUAAAUACCAUUACCCCCAUUACUAACUUCAGAAAUCCCAAACAAGUAAUUGACAUUGGAAAUUUUAAGAAAAACAGGUAUGCAUUAAUGAAGACUUCAGGCGAUUAUAGCUUCCAUAUUUGUACGUUAUCUCCUAGAGAAUCAGGGAAUACCUGAAAUUUAAAAAUAAGACAUAAAAGAUGAUCAACAAUUGAGCAGUAGCAAAAGCAGUGUUUCAGCAACAAUAUCAGCCAGGAAUGCCUAAAGAAACCACUUUGAACCAAAUUCAGAUCCACAACAGUAGCACCCAAAGCUCAAAAUCAGAAUACACCAAAAUCUGAACCUAAGACCUUGGAUAACAACCAAAACUCAACUGAUUUUAAACCUUACCUGUUCAAGAAUUAUAUUAGAGGGAGGAUCUCAAGAAUUUUAGAGAUUUUCCUUUCAAUAGAACUGUAGACUCCUUAGUUCUAGCCGCCUCAGUUUUCUGAUAUUUUUAACUCUUCAAUUCUUCUGAUUUUCAAAAUUUACAGUCUUUUUUUCUUAUUUUUCUAUCAAUUAGGUCUUCAAAGUCUACCUUCUAAGGCAAGAACUAUUUCCUUUUUAGACCUGUAAUUAAGGCAUCUUUCAGACUUCUAUCUCAUUUUUAGUCCUUCAUUUUAUGACUUGGUGACCAAGUUUUAUCAUGUAAAAUCUGAUGUUCCAAUUGGAACCCCAAUCUAGAAGGUUCUUAGUUAUGCAAAGGUUCUCUAAGAUGAUUACUUAUACUACCCUUGCUUAACCCCAGAAUUACCCCUUUAUGCCAAAACGAAAUUUGGGCCAACUAACCUAGACCAAUGGGUCUGACUAAACCCAGGUUACACUUUCUUGGGCUUCCUGAUUUCACUGCCUAUACGGACUCAUCAGGCUGAGCAAGAAUGAGCCAAAUUGAUAUCGCUUCUUUGAAAAAGAAAACAAAGAGGCAAAGAAGAAUAAAGUAUGAAGAACCUAAUCUUUAAACACACGACCACUCAAACCAAUCACAAAUUUUAAACAAAAUAAAUUAUUGGAAAAGAAAACUAACCCAGAGUACAGAAAAAGCAAAAGAAGAGAGAAAGACAGACCAAGCAAAUCGACACUUCAAACUUAAAGACUAACGAGGAUAUAAUGAUUAGGCAUAUCAAGAUGAUAUAAAUAAAACGAACAUCAUGCAGAAUCAGGAAGGGAAGAACAUGAGUACCGCAAAAAUGCGCACUAACUGGGAAUUUCCCUAAACACCCUGAUUUUGACCUCAAGGGGCCUCGACCAUGUGUUCUCAAAUGAGAAGGCAUUAUCAAGGCACGUUUGGGUCCAAAUCAUAUUCCAUAUUUGGUCCAGAUACUUUAGCGGCUUGGCUUCUAAACAAUAUUUGACCAGUUCUAGGGUUUUUUGAGAGGAACAUGAUACAGAUUGGGGAUGAAAGAGAGUCAGGGGUCGUUUGGUGUUAAUUCGAGAUCGCUUAGCGUCAGCGCCACCAUACACGGUGGAGAAGCCAACGCUUCGAUUGAAUAUUUGACAAGAUUGGCGACGAUUUGAGGGUGUAGAGAAUCACUGGUGUAAUUUUGGUACCAUUUGGGACAAUGCCACAGACGACGACAAUGUUCGGCCUGCGGCGCAUGGCGGAGAGAGGCGGUGUUAGGUUUUCUGAGUGUGCGGUGAGAGACGGGACCUGGAGGGUUUUGAGGGGUGGGGUGGCGUAUUUGGACAUUUAUAUACUAAGUGUAGCGGGCUUUAGGACCGUAGGAUCUAAAACCUAGACAGUCGAGAUUGAACGACCCCAAAACGAGGUCGUUUUGUAUUGGGGGGUGGACCGGGUGUGGGUGGAGCUCUAGACCGGGUCUGGGUGUUUAUUUAGGUUGGUUUGAUAUAAAAAAUGGCCCAAUUUUGGGUCUUCAAAUUCCAGAUUCUUCUUUUCAUUUUCUCAAUCAAUUUUUUUUUUCAAAAAUUAUUAAAUAGCUAAAUUAGGUUAUAAAUCCCAAACAUCCUUUAAAAUGCUUACUAACUUUUGUAAUAAUCAUUUUUAAAAAAUAAAAUUAAAAGAAGAAUUACCUAAAUACAAAAAAUAAAACUAAAGAAGCAAAUUGAACCAAUUUUUGAUAUUCCAUUUAUAAAAUGACCAAUUGCUAAUUAAUGCUCGAAAAAUGCCAAAUCUACUUCUCAAUGCACAUGCGACAUAUUUUGUAUUUUUAAUAAAUGUGUGUUAAAUUAAAAUGCACACAAAAUGCAAACAAUUAGCAGAAAUGUAACAAAAUUUCACAAAAUUACGAAAUAAAAGAAAUGAUUUUGUUUGAAUUUAUAGGAAUAAUUCACGCAGGGCAAAAAUCACAUGCUCACAGCUGCCCCUCUUUGCCCAUAAACACGAAGAGUUUUCGUGCAAAGACAAGUGAGUGGACACGAGCUAUUUUACCCGUUUGAGUACUCCGUGAGAAGCAUUUUGAAAAACUUUAAUGCACUCUGCUUCAGAGAUUGCCUACAUAUCCAUGGCUAAAUAGGAAUUAGCUCAGUGUAGUUCAGGAGUGUUUGGUAGCUUGGACUACCAAAGCUGUGAUCUCAAUGAUGUUGCUGCUACUACUGCUUGCUAGACCCCUUUAUUGCACCAGGUAAAACGAAAAAGAAGCUAGAGUAAGCUAUGAAUUAUGGAAUACAAAACAACCUAUCUAUGUCUUCAAACUUUCUCUUGGUAUUUGUUGCCUUGUUGCUGUGUGUAUCUCUCUGAGAAAUUUCUUGUUGCCUUCUGGUACCCCCUUCCGUGAAACUUCUUGUUGCCCUAUAGAUAAGUUUCUCUCUCUCCAUGUUGAUGCUUGGUUGUUGGAAUUGAAAAGUAUUCCCUUAUUCUCUAGGUAGGCACCUGAUUACCAAAACUUGAAACUUGAAAAACAUUCCCUCGUUCCCCAGGUGGGCGCCUGAUUACCAAAACUUGAAACCUGAAAAGCAUUCCCUUGUUCUCCAGGUGGGCGCCUGAUUACCAAAGCUUGCAACUUGAAAAACAUUCCCUUGUUCUCAAGGUAGGUGCCUGAUUACCAAAGCUUGAAACUUGAAAAAUAUCCCCUUGUUCUCCAAGUGGGCGCCUGAUUACCAAAGCUUGCAAUUUGAAAAGUAUUCUCUUGUCCUCCAGGUAGGCGCCUGAUUACCAAAACUUGAAACUUGAAAAGUAUUCCCUUAUUUUCCAAGUGGGCGCCUGAUUACCAAAACUUGCAACUUGAAAAGUAUUUCUUUGUUAUCCAGGUGGCGCCGGAUUACCAAAACAUGAAAAGUAUUCUCUUAUUCUCUAGGUGGACGCCUGAUUAUCAAAACUUGAAACUUGAAAAAUAUUUCCUUGUUCUCCAGGUGAGCGCCUGAUUACCAAUACUUGAAACUUGAAAAGUAUUCCCUUUUUCUCCAGGUGGGCGCCUGAUUACCAAAACUUGAAAAUUAUUCCCUUGUUCUUCAGGUGGGCGCCUGAUUACCAAAACUUGAAAAGUAUUCCCUUGUUCUCCAGGUGGGCGCAUGAUUAUCAAAACGUGAAACUUGAAAAGUAUUCUCUUGUUCUCCAAGGAGGCGCCUGAUUACCAAAACUUGAAACUUGAAAAGUAUUCCCUUAUUCUCUAGGUGGGCGCCUUAUUAACAAACUUGAAAAAUAUCCCCUUAUUCUCCAGGUGGGAGCCUGAUUACCAAAACUUGCAACUUUAAAAGUAUUCCCUUGUUUUCCAAGUGGACGCAUGAUUACCAAAACUUGAAACUUGAAAAGUAUUCCCUUGUUUUUCAAGUUGGCGCCUGAUUACCAAAACUUGAAACUUGAAAAGUAAUCCCUUGUUUUCCAGGUGGACGCCUGAUUACCAAAACUUGUUCAAAAUUAUUCCCUCGUUCUUCAGGUGGGCGCCUGAUUACCAAAACUUAAAACUUGAAAAGUAUUCCCUUGUUCUCCUGGUGGGCGCUUUAUUACCAAAACUUGAAAUUUGAAAGUAUUCCCUUGUUCUCCAGGUGAGCGCCUGAUUAUCAAAACUUGAAACUUGAAAAGUAUUCCCUUGUUCUCCAGGUGGACGCCUUAUUAUCAAAACUUGAAACUCGAAAAGUAUUCUGUUGUUCUCUAGAUGGGUGCAUGAUUACUAGAACAUGAAACUUGAAAACUAUUCCCUUAUUCUCCAGGUAGGCGCCUGAUUACCAAAACAUGAAACUUGAAAAGUAUUGCCUUGUUCUCUUGGUGGGCGCCUGAUUACCAUACUUGAAACUUGAAAAUAUUCCCUUGUUCUCCAGGUCGCUGCCUGAUUAUCAAAGCUUGCAACUUGAAAAGUAUUCCCUUGUUUUCCAGGUGGGCGCCUGAUUACUGUCAUACCUCUUUUUUUUACAGGGCUACCCCGAAGGAUAAAAAUGUGUAAUGGAGUUUUUCCAAUUAAAGUGACAUUAUUCGAAUUGGGAUUAUUUAUUUAUUAAGAGUCGCCACUUGGGAUAGGUUUGGCUUUUGGUGUCCCAAGUCUUCGAUUUUUUUUAAAAUCCCAAAUUGAGGAAAAUUGCGACUGCCCAAUUGGAGUCUACGAACCAGAAAUUUUAAGCAAGGAAUUCUGUUGACCCGAGGGAAUGUGUUAGGCACCCCCGUACCCCGUGAUUCUAGCACGGUCGCUUAAACUAUUAUAAUUGGCUAAAAAUUCUGAUUUUUAUACAUAUUUUAGCAUAUGGGGCAUUUUAAACUUUAUAUCCGUUUUUCAUUAUUUUUAAGAAAAAUUCAACGUCAUCUAAAACACAUCUUGAACCACGUCACAUAAAUACGCCCGCGGUCCUCGACAUAUUUUAUCUAACAUUGUUGAGAUUUGGAUUUGGAUCACAUAAAUGUACACCCAAGUUUAAAAUUAUAUACCGUGAUCAUGUCACAGAAAUCGUACCAAUAACCACGAUAAUUUAUUAUUAGUCACGCCUAAACCAAACUACAAAGCAAUUACUUACGGAACUAUAUUUGGUUUUGAAGUUAUGAGUCAUUUACCCAUUGUGGAAGCAUGGAGCAGUUUUUGUAUGUAAAUACUAGAGUUAUUGGGCCGGCAAACUAUCCUUAUUGGGCAAGCGUCUUAUUUCCCACUUCAAGAUUUUACAACAGCCCAACAACAAAAAUCUGGCAACUUUAAUGAAUUUAGCCUAGCGUGCUACAGCCCACUUAUUCCCAUAUCUAUUACUUUCUUUCUUUCUCACUUAACCUAGCAAACAACAUAAAAUUUAUUUCCUUAGUUGCCGAUAGAAUUGAUAUGAAUCAAUCAAACAAAAUCACAUAAUAAGACAUUUAAGCAGAAACUAAAGACAACAUAGACAUUCAUGUAAGGCAAACAAUGGAUUCAAGGAAAUGAAUAAAAAGAGAUUAAAGGAAAUGAACCUUUGAUAUGGAAAUUCUGUCAAUAUAUUGAGAAGAUAAACUUCUUCAUGAAAUGGAUACACCUCAAUAAUCGUUCUUCAAGAACAAAACGAGACCAAGCAACACCAAACAAAUCGAAAGAAAAUCUGAACAUAAACUCGAACUAGCGACCUCGACCGGUGUGUUUGUAUCUCCUUUUGGGUUGAGAGCAAGAAGAAGAUGAAACCAUCAAAAGAGAGAUCAAGGCUUGGCCGCUGUUGCCUCUCUUGACUGAGAGAAUGAAAAAAAAUGGAAAAGUCAAGGCUGUCGUUAGCUUCUUUCUUAGAGGUGUAGCGACCAGUUUUCUCCAAAUUGGCGUUUUCCCUCCUACCUAGCUUUUCUUUUUUCCAGAUCUCUCAUUCUCUUUUAUUUUGUUCCGCUUCUGUGUGUGUUUUUUGUGAAGAAGAUGACAAUGGUUUUGAAAAAUGAAGGAGCAAAAGAGACGUUUGAGGGGGGUAUCAAGGUCUCAGUAGCUUUUUG